rnacentral:rRNA from 1 species
UACGAAGGGGGCUAGCGUUGCUCGGAAUUACUGGGCGUAAAGCGUGCGCAGGCGGCUGCUCAAGUCAGGGGUGAAAGCCCAGAGCUCAACUCUGGAAUUGCCUUUGAGACUGAGUGGCUUGAGUACGGGAGAGGUGAGUGGAAUUCCCGAGUGUAGAGGUGAAAUUCGUAGAUAUUGGGAAGAACACCGGUGGCGAAGGCGGCUCACUGGCCCGUAACUGACGCUCAUGCACGACAGCGUGGGGAUCAAACAGG